rnacentral:rRNA from 1 species
AGAAUCAACGCUGGCGGCGUGCCUAACACAUGCAAGUCGCACGAGAAAGGGACUUCGGUCCUGAGUACAGUGGCGCACGGGUGAGUAACACGUGAAUAAUCUACCUCCGAGUGGGGAAUAACUGAGAGAAAUCUUAGCUAAUACCGCAUAACACUUACGAGUCAAAGCAGCAAUGCGCUUGGAGAGGAGUUCGCGGCAGAUUAGUUAGUUGGCGGGGUAAUGGCCCACCAAGACGAUGAUCUGUAUCCGGCCUGAGAGGAUGAUCAGCCACACUGGGACUGAGACACGGCCCAGACUCCUACGGGAGGCCAGCAGUGGGGAAUAUUGGACAAUGGGCGAAAGCCUGAUCCAGCAAUGCCGCGUGUGUGAAGAAGGUCUUCGGAUUGUAAAGCACUUUCGACGGGACGAUGAUGACGGUACCGUAGAAGAAGCCCGGCUAACUCGUGCCAGCAGCCGC